rnacentral:misc_RNA from 1 species
AGUUGAGUGACUUUUGAGUUAAAAUUCAAAGUUGAGAGACUUUCUGAGAAAGAAGUGCAUAGUUGAGUGACUUUUGAGUGAAAAUUGAAAGUUGACUGACUUUCUGAGAGAAGAGUGCAUAGUUGAGUGACCAUUUGAGGUAUUAACUCCAAAAUACAACAUAAGAUGAAUGUGGGCUUUUUGCGCCGGAGGUUUUGAUUCUUCCAUUGACUUCAUAUCCUUCAAAUUUGAAGACCUUCUCCGGGGCAGCUGAACCGAGGCAGAAACGAGCAGGAGACGACCACCUCCACAACACAAAGAUUGAUCGCAAAACCGACCCUAAAAGAUUCUGGAUAGAAAUCUUAUACCAAGAAAUAAAGACCCUGUAUUUACCCUCUUAGUAAUAUCUUUAUUGUGUAUUUAAACACCAAUAUUUUGAGUAUUCUUUGUGAAUUUUCUCUCUCAUAGAAAAAACCAAAAAAAUCCCCCUUCUUAACAGUGAAGCUAGAAAAGCUUAUAUAGCUGAGAAAUUAGGGCUUCAAAUGGAGAAGAAUCGGGUUAAAACUCAGACCUAUUUCGAGUUUUCUCUUAAAAAUUCAAAACAAAACUUUUUCAAAAGAGGGGAAACCACUUUUCUGGACUUUUUAACCUUAUUCCGGAAGGAGAAAGGGAGGUACAUAGCUGAGAUCAAGUCAUUCGUCCUUGGGGUGAGACAUGUCUCAAUCUCACACUACCAAGGACGACUCGCGUGAUCUGCUGCUGCUUUCUAUUGCGAUGGUACAAUCGAGAGGGACGUUGGGGGAGAAAAG